AACGAACGCUGGCGGCGUGGCUAAGGCAUGCAAGUCGAACGGAUCUAUCCAACGGGUAACUGAAGGGUAGAUUAGUGGCGAACGGGUGAGGAAUACAUGGACAACGUACCCUGGACACGGGGAUAGCGGCGGGCCGCAAGGCUCUUUAGCGAAAGUGCCGGUAAUACCCGAUGAUCCCGCAUGGUCGCAUGAUCGUGUGGGCAAAGCUCCGACGGUCUGGGAUCGGUUCAUGCCCUAUCAGCUAGUUGGUGAGGUAACGGCUCACCAAGGCGGCGACGGGUACCGGGCGUGAGAGCGUGACCCGGCACAUCGGAACUGAGAUACGGUCCGGACACCUACGGGUGGCUGCAGCAACGAAUAUUCCGCAAUGGACG
rnacentral:rRNA from 1 species